GACGAACGCUGGCGGCGUGCUUAACACAUGCAAGUCGAACGGAAAGGCCCUGCUUUUGUGGGGUGCUCGAGUGGCGAACGGGUGAGUAACACGUGAGUAACCUGCCCUUGACUUUGGGAUAACUUCGGGAAACUGGGGCUAAUACCGGAUAGGAGCUCCUGCUGCAUGGUGGGGGUUGGAAAGUUUCGGCGGCUGGGGAUGGACUCGCGGCUUAUCAGCUUGUUGGUGGGGUAGUGGCUUACCAAGGCUUUGACGGGUAGCCGGCCUGAGAGGGUGACCGGACACAUUGGGACUGAGAUACGGCCCAGACUCCUACGGGAGGCAGCAGUGGGGAAUAUUGCACAAUGGGCGGAAGCCUGAUGCAGCAACGCCGCGUGCGGGAUGACGGCCUUCGGGUUGUAAACCGCUUUCGCCUGUGACGAAGCGUGAGUGACGGUAAUGGGUAAAGAAGCACCGGCUAACUACGUG
rnacentral:rRNA from 1 species